rnacentral:rRNA from 1 species
UACAGAGGUCUCAACCGUUGUUCGGAUUCAUUGGGCGUAAAGGGUGCGUAGGCGGCGGGGCAAGUCAGGUGUGAAAUCUCGGGGCUCAACCCCGAAACUGCACUUGAUACUGCCUUGCUCGAGUACUGGAGAGGAGACUGGAAUUCAUGGUGUAGCAGUGAAAUGCGUAGAGAUCAUGAGGAAGACCAGUGGCGAAGGCGGGUCUCUGGACAGUUCCUGACACUGAGACACGAAGGCCAGGGGAGCAAACGGG